UACAGAGGGUGCGAGCGUUGUCCGGAAUCACUGGGCGUAAAGGGCGCGUAGGCGGCGCGUUAAGCGUGCGGUGAAAGCCCGGGGCUCAACCCCGGGUCGGCCGUGCGGACUGCCGGGCUGGAGCACUGUAGAGGCAGGUGGAAUUCCGGGUGUAGCGGUGGAAUGCGUAGAGAUCCGGAAGAACACCGGUGGCGAAGGCGGCCUGCUGGGCAGUAGCUGACGCUGAAGCGCGACAGCGUGGGGAGCAAACAGG
rnacentral:rRNA from 1 species